rnacentral:rRNA from 1 species
GGUUUUUAGAUUAAAAUUUAAGAUUUAACCUGCUCUAUGAUUAAUUAAAUGGCCGCAGUAUCCUAACUGUGCAAAGGUAGCGUAAUCAUUUGUUUCUUAAUUAGGAUCUUGUAUGAAAGGUUGGACGAGAAAUAGUCUUUAUUUAUAUAAAAAUUAAAAUUUAAUAUUUACUUUAAAAAGAGUAAAUAUUUUUAAUAGACGAGAAGACCCUAUAGAACUUUAUUAUUUAGUUAUUAGUAAAUAGUUCAAUAAUUAUGUUGGGGUGACAUUAGGAUUUUUAUAACUCCUAUAAUGUAAAUACAUUAAUUUAUGUUUUAUUGAUCCUUUAUAAGGAAAGGAAGUCUAAGUUACCUUAGGGAUAACAGCGUAAUUACUUUGGAGAGUUCAUAUUAAUAAAGUAGUUUGCGACCUCGAUGUUGGAUUAAGAUUAGAUUAAGGUGCAGAAGCUUUAAAUCUAGGUCUGUUCGACCUUUAAAUUCUUACA